ACAAGAGCACCGCGUAACGGGUUCCACGCUCGGCUGCGAAAGCUUGUCAGAUUAAAAAAAAAUUUUUUUUAGAGGUCACAGUGACCUUGACCUUUAACCUAGUGACCCAACGGUAAUGCCAAGAGCAACUAAGCUGUGUCUAAAUAGAGUGGUGAAGUCAUUCGUUGAUAUUACGCGCGGGAGGUCCAUAUUGAAUUAUAACUACUACAUGUAGUCCAUAUACUCUUGAAAGCCUCUUUCAAAUUUAACUCACCUUGACAGGUCAUAUAAAUACUGAAAGACAAACUAAAG